AGAGUUUGAUCAUGGCUCAGGACGAACGCUGGCGGCGCGCCUAACACAUGCAAGUCGAACGGAGAUGAAAAAAGCUUGCUUUGAUCAUCUUAGUGGCGGACGGGUGAGUAACACGUGAGCAACCUGCCUUUCAGAGGGGGAUAACGUUUGGAAACGAACGCUAAUACCGCAUAAUGUAUACGGAUGGCAUCGUCUGUAUACCAAAGGAGCAAUCCGCUGAAAGAUGGGCUCGCGUCCGAUUAGCUAGAUGGUGAGGUAACGGCCCACCAUGGCAACGAUCGGUAGCCGGACUGAGAGGUUGACCGGCCACAUUGGGACUGAGACACGGCCCAGACUCCUACGGGAGGCAGCAGUGAGGGAUAUUGGGCAAUGGGGGCAACCCUGACCCAGCGACGCCGCGUGAGGGAAGACGGUCUUCGGAUUGUAAACCUCUGUCUUUGGGGACGAAAAAGGACGGUACCCAAGGAGGAAGCUCCGGCUAACUACGUGCCAGCAGCCGCGGUAAUACGGAGGAUCCGAGCGUUAUCCGGAUUUAUUGGGUUUAAAGGGAGCGUAGGCGGAUUAUUAAGUCAGUUGUGAAAGUUUGCGGCUCAACCGUAAAAUUGCAGUUGAUACUGGUAGUCUUGAGUGCAGCAGAGGUAGGCGGAAUUCGUGGUGUAGCGGUGAAAUGCUUAGAUAUCACGAAGAACUCCGAUUGCGAAGGCAGCUUACUGGACUGUAACUGACGCUGAUGCUCGAAAGUGUGGGUAUCAAACAGGAUUAGAUACCCUGGUAGUCCACACAGUAAACGAUGAAUACUCGCUGUUUGCGAUAUACAGCAAGCGGCCAAGCGAAAGCAUUAAGUAUUCCACCUGGGGAGUACGCCGGCAACGGUGAAACUCAAAGGAAUUGACGGGGGCCCGCACAAGCGGAGGAACAUGUGGUUUAAUUCGAUGAUACGCGAGGAACCUUACCCGGGCUUAAAUUGCAACUGACGGAUUUGGAAACAGAUCUUCCUUCGGGCAGUUGUGAAGGUGCUGCAUGGUUGUCGUCAGCUCGUGCCGUGAGGUGUCGGCUUAAGUGCCAUAACGAGCGCAACCCUUAUCUUUAGUUACUAACAGGUCAUGCUGAGGACUCUAGAGAGACUGCCGUCGUAAGAUGUGAGGAAGGUGGGGAUGACGUCAAAUCAGCACGGCCCUUACGUCCGGGGCUACACACGUGUUACAAUGGGGGGUACAGAAGGCAGCUACACAGCGAUGUGAUGCUAAUCCCAAAAGCCUCUCUCAGUUCGGAUUGGAGUCUGCAACCCGACUCCAUGAAGCUGGAUUCGCUAGUAAUCGCGCAUCAGCCACGGCGCGGUGAAUACGUUCCCGGGCCUUGCACACACCGCCCGU
rnacentral:rRNA from 1 species